rnacentral:rRNA from 1 species
GAUGAACGCUAGCGGGAGGCUUAACACAUGCAAGUCGAGGGGCAGCAUAGGGUAGCAAUACUCUGAUGGCGACCGGCAAACGGGUGAGUAACGCGUAUGCAACCUACCCUGUACAGGGGGAUAACCCGGAGAAAUUCGGACUAAUAUCCCGUAAUAAUAUCCGGAGGCAUCUUUGGAUAUUUAAAGUUCCGACGGUACGGGAUGGGCAUGCGUAACAUUAGCUGGUUGGUAAGGUAACGGCUUACCAAGGCUAUGAUGUUUAGGGGUCCUGAGAGGGUGGUCCCCCACACUGGUACUGAGACACGGACCAGACUCCUACGGGAGCAGCAGUGAGGAAUAUUGGUCAAUGGGCGCAAGCCUGAACCAGCCAUCCCGCGUGCAGGAAGACGGCCCUAUGGGUUGUAAACUGCUUUUCCAGGGAGAGAAACUUACGCACGUGUUGCGUGACUGACGGUACCCUGGGAAUAAGCAUCGGCUAACUCCGUG